UGGCUAAUCUUGACCCAUCGACUUGC
rnacentral:piRNA from 1 species